ACUCCAUGUUUGAUGUCUUUACAAUCACAGAGAGCUGUUGACUGACUCCAGGUUUAAUGACUUUACAAUCACAGAGAGCUGUUGACUGACUCCAUGUUUGAUGUCUUUCAACCACCAAAGUUGUUCUUCUUUGGACAACCGUUCUAAAACCAUGAAAGGGCUUUUUGGUUUCUUCUUCUUCAGUGUCUGAUAAGAGAACAUUCUAGUGUUUCUAUGCAAAAGGAAACAUGCUUUAUUUGACCGUGGAAAGAUCCAGUAUCUCCAAUAUUAUUCCAAAGGACUUGACUUUACAAUAAGACCAUGGAAGACUAUCAGUCUGUGGAUGAUGUGUUUUAUAAAUGGUUUUGAUAAAUAAUACUCUGGAUUCAUGCAUGUGUUGUCUGUUUACCUUAAGCCAUGAAAUGGAGGAAGAACCUUGAAUAAGGCAGAGGCAUCUUUGAACAGUGAUACAAUUCAGAUAGUAGAAUCAGUGACCCCUGCUGGUUGGAAUAUGACAUUGCAGGAUGGUGAUGAAUAAACUGGAGGCUGGCUGGCUGGCUGAAGGAUGGAUGAACACAAUGGACUCAACUUCCACAUUGUUCUGUUCAUAAGUCAUCAGUCUUUGGUCUACGCACCACAAACACAUCAAGUAUCUACUAUUAAAUGUGGGCUGGGUUUUCACUGUUGGAAAUGGAUGGACUGCUUCAGGAAAAACCUUCAAGUCACAUAUCAUAUAUGCAAUCUAAGACUUACUAAACCAGUUGACUUAGUUGGCUUACUGCAAAACAAGAACCAUUACUGACCACCUACUUCUGUGUUGGACUAUUAGGUGGAACAGUCAUUCUGUUAGAAGGAACAACGUUACAAUGUGUUGAUAUCAGGAUCUCCAAGGUGUCUUUCAUCUGAGUUUUACUGUUUGACUCCAAAGACUCUUAUGAUGGUUUAUAGCUUUCAGCUAAAUUCAUGCAUUAAAUUAUUAUAUUUUUCAUGGCAUAAUCUGUUCUUUCUAAUUCAAAUGACUUGAAUGAAAUGAUUAUAAAAUGCAUCAUUGAGAAUAAUAGGGUGGGAUACUACUAGUAUUGCUGCUGGACAUUAAACACUACUGUCAUAUUUUCUAAGUGGUGUUUUUUAUCAGUCUGUCCCUUUCACUUUGACAGUGAUGCUCUAAUGAUGUCAUAUCAUCAUGUGGUAACUGUCCUCAUGAUGCAGUAUUGUUGAUAAAAGAUGCUGUUGCCCAUGUGUAUGUAUGUAAUGUGAUUGACAUGUCCUGAGUCCUGUGUGUCUCCUGUGUGUCUGGCUUGGCUUGUGUCCCACAUGGUACCCUUUAACCCUAUGUAGUGCACUACUUUUGACCAGGGCCCAUAGGGAAUAGGGAACCAUUUGGAACACCGACUGAGAGUCUAGGAGGCAAUAUGAUUCUCACAGCACAGUUUGAUUGACAUGUAGGAUAAUCUGCAAUGGAUCAAUAAUAAUACAAUGAAUAAACCUCCCCUUUAUUUUAAA